CGGGACACGUGGUAUCCUGUCUGAAUAUGGGGGGACCAUCCUCCAAGGCUAAAUACUCCUGACUGACCGAUAGUGAACCAGUACCGUGAGGGAAAGGCGAAAAGAACCCCGGCGAGGGGAGUGAAAAAGAACCUGAAACCGUGUACGUACAAGCAGUGGGAGCCUCUUUUAUGGGGUGACUGCGUACCUUUUGUAUAAUGGGUCAGCGACUUAUAUUCUGUAGCAAGGUUAACCGAAUAGGGGAGCCGAAGGGAAACCGAGUCUUAACUGGGCGUUAAGUUGCAGGGUAUAGACCCGAAACCCGGUGAUCUAGCCAUGGGCAGGUUGAAGGUUGGGUAACACUAACUGGAGGACCGAACCGACUAAUGUUGAAAAAUUAGCGGAUGACUUGUGGCUGGGGGUGAAAGGCCAAUCAAACCGGGAGAUAGCUGGUUCUCCCCGAAAGCUAUUUAGGUAGCGCCUCGUGAAUUCAUCUCCGGGGGUAGAGCACUGUUUCGGCAAGGGGGUCAUCCCGACUUACCAACCCGAUGCAAACUGCGAAUACCGGAGAAUGUUAUCACGGGAGACACACGGCGGGUGCUAACGUCCGUCGUGAAGAGGGAAACAACCCAGACCGCCAGCUAAGGUCCCAAAGUCAUGGUUAAGUGGGAAACGAUGUGGGAAGGCCCAGACAGCCAGGAUGUUGGCUUAGAAGCAGCCAUCAUUUAAAGAAAGCGUAAUAGCUCACUGGUCGAGUCGGCCUGCGCGGAAGAUGUAACGGGGCUAAACCAUG
rnacentral:rRNA from 1 species